rfam:Candidatus Moranbacteria bacterium RBG_13_45_13 RBG_13_scaffold_4578, whole genome shotgun sequence.
CUUAUUGAGAGUUUGAUCCUGGCUCAGGAUGAACGCUGGCGGCGUGGAUAAGGCAUGCAAGUCGCGUGGGUUUAGACCCACGGCAAACGGGUUAGUAACACAUAGGAACGUACCCUGGAGUUGUGCAUAACUCAUCGAAAGAUGAGAUAAUUCACAAUGGUUAUCUUCGGAUUAAAGUUUCGGCGCAAGUCGGAGCGCUCUGGGAGCGGCCUGUGUCCUAUCAGCUUGUUGGUGAGGUAAGAGCUCACCAAGGCUAUGACGGGUAGGGGAUGUGAGAGCAUGAUCCCCAACAUUGGGACUGAGACACUGCCCAAACACCUACGGGUGGCUGCAGUCGAG